AAUAAACACAUGAGCCAAUAAGUAGGCGUUUAAAACAGCAGAUACAGAUAUAGAUAGGCACUUGUACCUUGGCAGAUAGUGGUCUACAUGCCAUCCACUUUCACAUUCUCGUUGGGGAAUAAAGCAAGUUUGUCCUUGUUUCCAAAUGCAACACAUCUGCAUUUGUUCAGGAACACAUUCAUUUCAUCCAUCCAUCCAUCCAUCCAUCCAUCCAUCCAUCCAUCAUUCUUUUCCACCUCUGUUGCCUUUCCCAUAGCCUAAUUUAGAUUGUAAGCGCCUUGUGGGAAGAGACCUGCCUAUUAUUUAUUCGGCGUGUAAAAACUCUGUAAAAGCAUCACAUAGUUGCUUAAAUAAUUAAUAGUGUUGUUGAAGACAAUUAGGAAACAGACCCAUUUGCACAGAUGGGUUAUCUAUCUGUCUAUUUGUGUCUAUAUGUCUUUCAGUCUGUCUGUCUGUCUGUCUGUCUGUCUGUCAGUAUCUAUCAUUUCCCCCACAUGGUUUUAUCACAGAUUUUGACGGUGACACUUCCUUUGCUCUCUUAUCUCUCAUUAAAAGUUGUUUUGAAAAUCCAUGGUUCUUGCUGCAAAUGAACCCAGAUUAUUAACAUUUAUUCCAUGUGGGGCUUUGUUUUGUUUUGUUUUACCUCAGAAGACUGCAGCUUGUUAAGAGGAAGGUUGUUAAAUGGUUCUGUUCUUCUCCACAAGGCUCAUAGCAAGUGAAAAUUUCUUUAAAAAUUAAUUUCAGAAAGGAAAGUGAUCACGCUCUGUAGGUGCAAUGCUGCUGUAAUGUUCAUGCUGCCUAUAUGAUCCAUACCCAGGAGAUAAAAGUAAAAUCUGUGCCUAAACUCAUCCAAAUGGAAGGAACUGACAGCAAAGUCUCAAAGCAUGCUUUUUAAAACAGAGAAGCUGAUGUCUUUGCAAAAGAGAACAGCGGCAGCGACUUGUAAACCUACCAGUCAAUUUUUUAAAAGGACACAAUAGCCAUGCACCGAAGAUCCUCAGCAAGAGCUCACACUGCCCAUAGACUUCACUUGGAGGCAAAUGGUGAGUCAGGAUAUUCCUUGGGAGCAAGUGGGAUUUGCAAGAAAUAAGAAGACCUCCCCUGGACUGGAACAAAUGCCAUACAAUCCAGCAUUCUGUUUUAAACAUGAUCAAGCUGGACACCUCUGAAAGGGGGACCUGAAGGCAACUUUCCCUCCCUUGUUGUUUGUCACCAGCAUCUGUUCUUCAGAAGUACACAGAACUUUGAACUUGGCAGUUCCAUUUGGUUAUCAUGGGUGGUACCCAUUGCUGCUCCCUUUUUUAAAAAAUAAAAACAGUGACCAUAAGCAGAUCUUGUGGUACUGAAUAGAUUUUUUAAAAAAUCAAAUACAGAAAUACGGUGGUACCUCAGGUUAAGUACUUAAUUCGUUCCGGAGGUCCAUUCUUAACCUGAAACUGUUCUUAACCUGAAGCACCACUUUAGCUGAUGGGGCCUCCCGCUGCCGCCGCACCUCCAGAGCCCGAUUUCUGUUCUCAUCCUGAAGCAAAGUUCUUAACCUGAAGCACUAUUUCUGGGUUAGCGGAGUCUGUAACCUGAAGCGUAUGUAACCUGAGGUACCACUGUG